rnacentral:tRNA from 1 species
GGGGUUGUGGCUCAGAGGUAGAGCGCUCGCCUAGAAUGCGUGAGGCACUGAGUUAGAUACUCAGCACCA